GCCUCUCCAUUUGCCCUGAAACUGUAGUUUUCUUUUGCCUGGAGUAUUCUUUGUUAUGUUUUCUACUUUGCAGGGAUCUUGGGCUUCCUUGAAAUCCACUUCUUCCCAUGCAACAGAACUAACUUUCAAAUCUGCUGCAUUAGGUUCAUUGUCAUUUAUAUUAGCCUCCGAUAUUUCUUCAGGUUUUAUCUGAAUUGCUGCAUAAAAGGACACACAAUCAAAAACCUAAUAUGGAAAGCAAAGGCACGCAUCAGAAUACACAUAAAAUAGGUAAGACGUUAAAAAGGACUACAGCAGAGAGGAGUUAUUCCCAAUAUUGGUUAGGAUUCCCUGACUAUCUCUGUCAGGAUUGAGAGAGGAAAACAACUGAAAUCAAAUAAGAAAUUACCUGGCAAAGGAGAAAUUUUCUGUAAUACAGCAAUAAAGAAGGCUCCAGUAUUCUGAUCAUGAGGCACUAACCUCAUGCACCGCUCUAGUGGGAAAUCAGAAUCUUCCUCAAUAAAUUCAUGCAUCACAGGAUUCUCCGCGGCUUGAACAUCAUCUUCAGAAUUUCUAUUAACAUCAUCAGUAAUAAUAUCAUCUCCAAGGCUAUCAACAACAUCCUGAUAGCUUCCGCCAUUUGGAAACAUGCUGGGAAGAACUACACCUCUAUGAGACUUAGGAACAUCUUUGCAAGAGACUAACCACUUACCCUUGUCACAUACCUGCACAUAUGUUAGAAUUAUGUUAUGGUAUUUGUCUUUGAGGGAAUAUAUCUAUCAAGAAUAGAGGAUUAUAUCUUUGUUGUUUUUGUCUUCACACACAUCUUUACAAUGGCAAUAUAUUGUCCACUUUGGAUUUUUA